AAUUUCUGGGCAGGUGAACCGGGGAAAAUGUGAAAUUGAAAAUAGCUGGAUAGCCCUUUCACAUGCACGGUGUUCUAUGCUAUAAGUUUCCAUCAGUCAGUGCUGCCGGGGUUUGGCGAGGACCAGGCAGGUCUACAAAAGACAACUGGCAGCUCUCGGGUUCGCGCAGAGGCAGCUGCUUGCGUUGACCCUGUGCUGGACCGUGUUCAUCAUUCAGCAGUCAGCUUAGUAUUGAUUCGGGAUGUUGGUGCCGGAUUCUCUGCAGGACUGAGCCGCUUCAUUUAUUUACAGUGCGGCUGCUAAUUCUGUGACAGGAAGCAAAAAAAAAAGCAUAUCACAAGGCGUAGGUCACCUUUAGCUUCACAUCAUCUGUAGAAAUUGCAGCAGGAUGUCUUUUAAGAGAGAAAUGCCACUUGCAAAUGCGGUAUUCUGGACUGCACGAAAAGGAAACGUGACUCUAUUGAGGCUACUUUUAAACAGUGGUCGAAUGGAUGCAGACUGCAAAGACAGUCUUGGGACCACUGCUCUGAUGGUGGCUUCAUACUGCAAUAAUAAGGAUUGUGUUCGAGAACUGAUCCUGCAAGGAGCAGACAUUAAUCUCCAAAGAGAGUCAGGUUCCACAGCAUUAUACUUUGCUGCUCAACAAGGAAACGAUACCAUUGUGAAAUUUCUUUUGGAGUAUGGGGCCUCCACUGAACUAGCAACUAAAGAUGGUGCUACUCCACUUUCAAUUGCCAGUCAGUAUGGACAUAUCAAAGUGGUGGAUAUAUUACUCAACAGAAGAUGCAAUGUUAACAUCCAGCUUAAGGAUGGUGCUACAUCACUUUUCCUGGCAGCACAAGGCGGCCAUCUAAAUGUGGUUAAGAUGCUGCUUGCGUCAGGAGCAAAGAUUGACCAACCAAGACAGGAUCUAACGACUCCAUUGUGGAUAGCAGCACAGAUGGGAUACAGUGAAGUUGUAAAGCUGCUGCUUCAGUGGGGAGCUCAUUCAGAUACUGCUCGUAAGGAUGGCUCAACACCUUUAUUCAAAGCUGCAUACAAAGGUUUUAUUGAAGUUGUUCGAGAGUUACUAACAUGUUCUCCUUCAUUGGGAAUUCUUAAGAAUGGAACAACAGCUCUUCACGCUGCAGUUUUAGGAGGCAGUGUCAGAACAGUGGGCCUUCUCAUUGAUUCUGGAGCAGAUCCAAACCUAAGAAAUACGGCAGAGGAAUUGCCAGCAGAUCUUACAAGGAAUGAUCGCCUAAUCCAACAGCUUCAAUCAAAACAAAGUGGAGAAAGCUGAAGAUGUGGAACCAAACUAGGUUCAAGGCUCAUUCUGACAAACCCAUCAGAGUACAGUGAGAACUGUAUAAUGGCACCACUCUGACCAGGGUCACCAUUCUUCUGGUUGUUCCAUAAAAAUUAUUGAGCUAUAUAAAGGGCAGUCCCUCAGAAUUGACAAUGGCUUGCUUCCAAUGGCGUUUGAUGGACAUCAUCCAUUUCAGAAUAUAAUGAACAUCUACGGACUCUGCUGCAGGGGCACAGAUUAAUAAGAACAGGAUAAAUAGGAGCAGGAAUAGAUCAUUCUGCCCCUCAAGCUUUCAGCAAGAUCAUGGUUUACUACCCUAGGCCUGAACACCUCUUUUGUACCAACUCAAAUAGCCCUCAACUCCUUGAUACUUCAAAAUUCUAUCUACUUUGACUUCAAAUACUUUCAGAGAUCUCGCCUCCACAGCUCUCUGGGAUAGAAGAUUUUAUUACACUAUGGGAGAAGAAAUUCUUUUGCAUUCAGUUUUAAAUGAGUGUCCCUUCACUCUGAAAUUAUGUCCCUAGAUCGAGAUUUCCCACUAGUAGAAACAUCUUCUCAACAUUUACUCUAUUAAACUGUCUCAGAAUCUUGUAUAUUUAAAUGACACACAUUCUUAUAAAUUCUAAUGAAUGAUGACCUAACGUAUUUAGCUGUCCUUGAAGGUCAACCCCUUUGUCUCAGGGAUCUGUUUAUAAAAUAGGGGCAGCACAGUGGCUCAGAGGUUAGCACUGCUGUCUCACAGCGCCAGGAACCCAGGU